AGUUGGUGUCGUAACUCAUUGGAAUCUAAAGAAAAUUAAUCUGAGUUUUUUCUUUCUCCUAAUGUAUCCUCUUUAAUUCUAGUUUUUCUAGGUUCAAAAGAAAGAGGAGUGAAGAGGAGUAAAACAUACAUCUAUUAAAAAGCAAGAAGGUUAAAUAAAUGGAAGCUUUUUAUUUUUCUUUCUCUGCCUAAGGGAGAUGCCAUUGCCUUUCAUCAAGAAAACAUGUCAGGAGAUCUAAAUGUAACAAAUACUCCCCCAAAGAAUUGGAACUUCAGCAAUGGGAAGAAGCAGAAGCUUAACAAAUUAACAGGCAGAUUGAUCUAUGUUAUUUGAUAAAUCAGGGAUUGAAAUUAUUAUCAGAAGGGGA
rnacentral:lncRNA from 10 species